GACGAACGCUGGCGGCGUGCUUAACACAUGCAAGUCGAACGGAAAGGCCCUGCUUUUGUGGGGUGCUCGAGUGGCGAACGGGUGAGUAACACGUGAGUAACCUGCCCUUGACUUUGGGAUAACUUCAAGAAACUGGGGCUAAUACCGGAUAGGAGCUCCUGCUGCAUGGUGGGGGUUGGAAGUUUCGGCGGUUGGGGAUGGACUCGCGGCUUAUCAGCUUGUUGGUGGGGUAGUGGCUCACCAAGGCUUUGACGGGUAGCCGGCCUGAGAGGGUGACCGGCCACAUUGGGACUGAGAUACGGCCCAGACUCCUACGGGAGGCAGCAGUGGGGAAUAUUGCACAAUGGGCGGAAGCCUGAUGCAGCAACGCCGCGUGCGGGAUGACGGCCUUCGGGUUGUAAACCGCUUUCGCCUGUGACGAAGCGUGAGUGACGGUAAUGGGUAAAGAAGCACCGGCUAACUACGUG
rnacentral:rRNA from 1 species